rnacentral:rRNA from 1 species
GAUGAACGCUGGCGGCGUGCUUAACACAUGCAAGUCGAACGAUGAAGCCCAGCUUGCUGGGUGGAUUAGUGGCGAACUGGUGAGUAACACGUGAGUAACCUGCCCUUGACUCUGGGAUAAGCCCGGGAAACUGGGUCUAAUACCGGAUAGGAGCGCCUGUCGCAUGACGGGUGUUGGAAAGAUUUUUCGGUCAUGGAUGGACUCGCGGCCUAUCAGCUUGUUGGUGAGGUAAUGGCUCACCAAGGCGACGACGGGUAGCCGGCCUGAGAGGGUGACCGGCCACACUGGGACUGAGACACGGCCCAGACUCCUACGGGAGGCAGCAGUGGGGAAUAUUGCACAAUGGGCGGAAGCCUGAUGCAGCGACGCCGCGUGAGGGAUGACGGCCUUCGGGUUGUAAACCUCUUUCAGUAGGGAAGAAGCGAAAGUGACGGUACCUGCAGAAGAAGCACCGGCUAACUACGUG